UGGGGAAUAUUGCACAAUGGGCGCAAGCCUGAUGCAGCCAUGCCGCGUGUGUGAAGAAGGCCUUCGGGUUGUAAAGCACUUUCAGCGAGGAGGAAGGGUAGUGUGUUAAUAGCACAUUGCAUUGACGUUACUCGCAGAAGAAGCACCGGCUAACUCCGUGCCAGCAGCCGCGGUAAUACGGAGGGUGCAAGCGUUAAUCGGAAUUACUGGGCGUAAAGCGCACGCAGGCGGUUUGUUAAGUCAGAUGUGAAAUCCCCGCGCUUAACGUGGGAACUGCAUUUGAAACUGGCAAGCUAGAGUCUUGUAGAGGGGGGUAGAAUUCCAGGUGUAGCGGUGAAAUGCGUAGAGAUCUGGAGGAAUACCGGUGGCGAAGGCGGCCCCCCUGGACAAAGACUGACGCUCAGGUGCGAAAGCGUGGGGAGCAAAACAGGAUUAGAUACCCUGGUAGUCCACGCUGUAAAACGAUGUCGACUUGGAGGUUGUGCCCUUGAGGCGUGGCUUCCGAGCUAACGCGUUAAGUCG
rnacentral:rRNA from 1 species